GCCUACGGGCGGCAGCAGUGGGGAAUAUUGGACAAUGGGCGAAAGCCUGAUCCAGCCAUGCCGCGUGAGUGAUGAAGGCCCUAGGGUUGUAAAGCUCUUUUGGCGGGGACGAUGAUGACGGUACCCGCAGAAUAAGCCCCGGCUAACUUCGUGCCAGCAGCCGCGGUAAGACGAAGGGGGCUAGCGUUGUUCGGAAUUACUGGGCGUAAAGCGCGUGUAGGCGGUUUUCCAAGUUGGGUGUGAAAGCCUUGGGCUUAACCCAAGAAAUGCACUCAGUACUGGAAGACUAGAGGACCGGAGAGGAUAGUGGAAUUCCCAGUGUAGUGGUGAAAUACGUAGAGAUUGGGAAGAACACCAGUGGCGAAGGCGGCUAUCUGGACGGUUUCUGACGCUAAGACGCGAAAGCGUGGGGAGCAAACAGGAUUAGAUACCCCAGUAGUC
rnacentral:rRNA from 1 species